rnacentral:lncRNA from 1 species
GGGAUGUGGUGAGGGCGCAGACGCAUCUUCCAGAGCCGACCUUCCCCCGCGCCCUCCCAAGCUAGGGGUCACGCUGUGUCCCCAGUCCCUUCUGCGUUUAUCCCGUUGGUGGUGUAGGGCAGGGAUCCUGCACCUUUCGAGGUCACUUGGCUUCGGUGAGAAGCUGAUGACGGCUCGGCCCCUCCCAGAGAACUGCUCAUGCUCGCCGCUUUGCCACAUUUUCAAGGCUGCUCUGGUGAGAACCCCUCGGUGACCUCAGGCUUACCUUGAACGGCUUCCGGAAGCUUUAACACCUGAUUAUUAAAGUCGAAGUGGCAAGGAACUCAUCUGUCAGUUUUCCCUCAUGGAAGUGUCUUACGAAACCAUUUUAUAAACCAUAUGCUUGAAAAAGGUCAGAAAACGCAGGUCCCCAAAUGCAGUGCGUGUUCGGUUGUUCAGCAUGUUGCCCUCGGGUUAUUUCACCCCAAGCCCAUCUCUGCAAACUGACCUCCAAGGGCCGGACAGACCCUGACACCCUCCAGCCUUGAGGCAGUCCGCCUGGGAAAUUUCUGAGAAGGGCUCCUUCCAUCCAAACCGUGAAAAUGUGGCGUCUUGGCUUUACGCUUCCACUUGUACCCACCUACAUACGUUUCCUCCUGCUUCAAACUCUGGCCCAGGAUAAUGGAUUACAUGAGGCACCUGUUUUGAGAUGUUCCCGUCAUUCCGUCAACUCCCGUGAUGGAGGCAUAUGGGGAAUAGGCGUGCUGUUGGGGGUAACACGUGCGGAGGCCUGGAUCCGAGAGUCAGUUCAAAAGGACUCCCCCCGUGGUGGACACUCUGUGGGUCUGGAAAAAUAUCCCAGUUGAGAGAAGCCUCCCUCUCUUCUUACUUUGCCGAGAGUUUUCUUUUUUAAUUGAAGUACAGUUGAUGCACAAUAUUAUAUAAGUUAUAGGUGUAAAAUACAGUGAUUCAUGACUUUAAAGGUUGUGGUCUGUAUUCCAACUAUUGUAACUAUAAAAUUUUGGAGUUGCCAUUGUGGCGCAGUGGAAAUGAAUCAGACUAGGAUCCAUGGGGUUGGCGGCUCCAUCCCUGGCCUCAGUGGGUUAAGCAUCUGGCGUUGCCGUGAGCUGUGGUGCAGGUCACAGAUGCGGCUCAGAUCUGACGUUGUUGUGGCUGUGGUCUAGGCUGGCAGCUGUAGCUCCGAUUAGAUCCCUAGCCUGGGAACCUCCAUAUGCCGCGGGUGUGGCCCUAAAAAAACAAAAUAUAUAUAUUUAUAUAUAUAUAUAAACAUUGGCUAUAUUCCCUGUGCUGUAGUGUGUGUCCUUGUAGCUUAUUUUGCUCAGAGUUUUUAUCAUGCAUGAGCAUUGCAUUUUGUCAAAUGCCUUUUUUUGUUUUUUUUGUUUUUUUUUUUUUGGCUGUGCCAGCAGCAUGUGGAAGUUCCUGGGCCAGGAAUCAAACCCACACCACAGCAGCAACCUGAGCCGCAGCAGUGAUCAUGCUGGAUCCUUAAGCACUAGGUCACCAGGGAACUGCUCUGAUUUACUCGUGGACAGCUGAACUUCUCAGAAAUCAGUACUGACACUGGCUCUGGAGUGUCAUCAGUGUGUCACAGCGCUCGGAACUCCAUGAAGGGGAUCUGCCCCCGAGCCUCUCACCCUGACCCCGGGUGCCUGAAACCAGGUUCUCGGGAGCUCCCUGGGGCAGGACAGCAGGGCCACCGCCUGCCACGCCCCUCCUGCCCAC